GAAUCCGGUCCGUACAAACUCUGCUGUGUUGAAUGAUUGGUGAGUUUGUUUGCUCAUUGAUUGAAUCACUGCAGAGUUUGUACGGACCGGAUUC